UACGAAGGGGGCUAGCGUUGCUCGGAAUCACUGGGCGUAAAGGGUGCGUAGGCGGGUCUUUAAGUCAGGGGUGAAAUCCUGGAGCUCAACUCCAGAACUGCCUUUGAUACUGAGGAUCUUGAGUUCGGGAGAGGUGAGUGGAACUGCGAGUGUAGAGGUGAAAUUCGUAGAUAUUCGGAAGAACACCAGUGGCGAAGGCGGCUCACUGGACUGGUAUUGACGCUGAGGUGCGAAAGCGCGGGGAGCAAACAGG
rnacentral:rRNA from 1 species